rnacentral:rRNA from 1 species
AUUGAAGCUGGCGGCAGGCCUUACACAUGCAAGUCGAGCGAGCGGCGGACGGGUGAGUAAUGUAUAGGAACGUGCCCGGUAGCGGGGGAUAACGUCGCGAAACGGUCGCUAAUACCGCAUACUAUUAGAAGGGCCUAUGUCGGAUUAGCUAGUUGGUGGGGUAACGGCUUACCAAGGCGACGAUCCGUAGCUGGUUUGAGAGGAGGAACAGCCACACUGGGACUGAGACACGGCCCAGACUCCUACGGGAGGCAGCAGUGGGGAAUAUUGGACAAUGGGCGAAACCUGAUCCAGCCAUGCCGCGUGUGUGAAGAAGGUCUUCGGUUGUAAAGCACUUUCAGCGGGGAGGCGUUACCCGCAGAAGAAGCACCGGCUAACUCCGUGCCAGCAGCCGCGGUAAUAC